rnacentral:lncRNA from 1 species
AGAGACAGAACUUCCGGCUCAGGGACCACGGUUGACUCAGCACAGGCAGCCUCUGGAGCAAAGGGCAGCUAUUAUUCAGCUUGUUCAGUACCCACCUUGUCCCAUCUUUUCUGGAGCCAACGACACCUUUCUCUUUAAGGGAGGAUCCUCUGAGCCCCGCACUGGCCUCAACCGGAGAAAGUGCUCUGCUACCCUCUCCAAGGACAAUUGGUUCUUGGGAGGGUCUGCCCCACACGAGGCCAGCCAUGAACCUUCCUUGGGAAUUUCUGAAUUAGAACCAACAGCCAAGGCUCAUGCAUGCCUGGGGUGACCAAGGCCCGUUAAAGACCCGGAGCCAGAGGACUGGCUGAUUUACAACAGUAACAAAACUGCAUCUGCACCAGCAGCUGCAACUGGAGUGACUCCCAGUUAAGUUUAUGACAAUUCUCAGUCCUGCUCCAAGAGCUGUGUCCCUUCUGUGCAGGCCGAGUAGGUGAGCUGUGUGGGGAUGUGGUGGGACUCCCACCCCUGCCUCCUCAAGUCUGUGAUGAGGGCCCUCAUCUCUGCAAUCCUCCAGGGAUAUGGUAUUGUGUUUAGUUCGCUAUUUUCAGAGGAAGACGCAGUUCCAGGGCCCUCUGCUUGGCCUUUCUGACCAUAACACCCUCGCUCUGUGGCCCAGAGAGCUAAUGUGAGGAUUCUGCCCGUUGCUGAAUAUGUCAAUUCAAGUAAUGAAUCCGGGAACUGGGGAAAUAGCCACAGGGUGGACCCAGUGGGCCCCGCUAUGCAUCAAACCUGAGCCGAAACUCUGCUGACCCCCAAGGCCCCACCCCGACUGUGGACCAGUGACAUCUGGGAUUUCCAGGAGUUAGGGUCCGUUGAGAGCCAGUGUCCAGUAAUGCUUGGAGAGUCUGAUCAGUUCCCUUCCACAGUGGAGACAGCAGCCACAGCAUCUUCAGGGAAGGCUGGGAGGAAGAUGAAGCCUCUGUGGUUUCACCAGGUGGCAGCGUGGUGAAUGCUUCCUCCAGGGCUCUGGGUCUGUGACCCGGCUGAAGUCUGAGAAUUGAGAUGCUGUGACUUUCUAUUGUGGUGACACGAGUCGGACUUUCACCUGUCAGGCUACAGCGUGGAGCACGAGUCAGACUUCCGCCCCGUCGGGCCCGCGGUGGGGAGCGCGAGUCGGACUUCCGCCCCGUCGGGCCCCCCGCCCGUCGGGCCCGCGGCGCUGAAGUCGGACUUCCGCCCGUCGGGCCCGCGGCUGGGGGCGCGAGUCGGACUUCCCCGUCAGGCCCGGCGGGAGCGCUAGUCGGACUUCCGCCCGUCAGGCCCGCGACCUGGGGCACGAGUCGGACUUCCGCUCCUCAGGCCUAGGGCGUGGGGCACGAGUCGGACUUCCGCUCGUCAGGCCUAUGGCGUGGACCUG